rnacentral:rRNA from 1 species
CCUACGGGUGGCAGCAGUGAGGAAUAUUGGUCAAUGGACGAGAGUCUGAACCAGCCAAGUAGCGUGAAGGAUGACUGCCCUAUGGGUUGUAAACUUCUUUUAUAUGGGAAUAAAAUGUUCCACGUGUGGGAUUUUGUAUGUACCCUAUGAAUAAGGAUCGGCUAACUCCGUGCCAGCAGCCGCGGUAAUUCGGAGGAUCCCAGCGUUAUCCGGAGUUAUUGGGUUUUAAGGGAGCGUAAGUGGAUUGUUAAGUCAGUUGUGAAAGUUUGCGGCUCAACCGUAAAAUUGCAGUUGAAACUGGCAGUCUUGAGUGCAGGAGAGGUGGGCGGAAUUCGUGGUGUAGCGGUGAAAUGCUUAGAUAUCACGAAGAACUCCGAUUGCGAAGGCAGCACACUGGACUGCAACUGACACUGAGGCUCGAAAGUGUGGGGAUCAAACAGGAUUAGAUACCCGAGUAGUC